rnacentral:rRNA from 1 species
AAAUCUCUUCGGGGAUGGAUUAGCGGCGGACGGGUGAGUAACACGUGGGCAACCUGCCUCAAAGUGGGGGAUAGCCUUCCGAAAGGGAGAUUAAUACCGCAUAACAUUAGUUUUUCACAUGAAUUACUAAUUAAAGGAGUAAUCCGCUUUGAGAUGGGCCCGCGGCGCAUUAGCUAGUUGGUGAGGUAACGGCUCACCAAGGCCACGAUGCGUAGCCGACCUGAGAGGGUGAUCGGCCACAUUGGAACUGAGACACGGUCCAGACUCCUACGGGAGGCAGCAGUGGGGAAUAUUGCACAAUGGGCGAAAGCCUGAUGCAGCAACGCCGCGUGAGUGAUGAAGGCCUUCGGGUUGUAAAGCUCUGUCUUUGGGGACGAUAAUGACGACCC